rnacentral:rRNA from 1 species
CGUGGGUAACCUGCCCAAGAGACUGGGAUAACACCUGGAAACAGAUGCUAAUACCGGAUAACAACACUAGACGCAUGUCUAGAGUUUAAAAGAUGGUUCUGCUAUCACUCUUGGAUGGACCUGCGGUGCAUUAGCUAGUUGGUAAGGUAACGGCUUACCAAGGCGAUGAUGCAUAGCCGAGUUGAGAGACUGAUCGGCCACAUUGGGACUGAGACACGGCCCAAACUCCUACGGGAGGCAGCAGAA